rnacentral:rRNA from 1 species
CAACUUUCACAACAACGGAUCUCUUGGCUCUUGCAUUCGAUGAAGAACGCAGCGAAAUGCGAUAAGUAAUGUGAAUUGCAGAAUUCCGUGAAUCAUCAAAUCUUUGAACGCAAAUUGGCACUCUUUGGUAUUCCGGAGGAGUAUGCUUGCUUGAGGGUUGUU